GUUUAGUCUUGUCUAUAUGUUAAUUGAAGAAUCAUUUAUGUUGUUGUAUUUUUUUGAUUUAAUUUUUUGUGCUAUAGUUUAUUUGUACCGUAUGGGGUUGAAGUUUAUAAUUAAUUUUUAGAAGUUAAUUUAGUUUAUUGUACCUUGUGUAUCAGGGUUUAUUGAAUUCUGUUAUUUAUUUUUAUUUCCCGAUUUUAAAGGAGUUAAUGAUUUAUGUUAGUUACUGUUUUAUUAGUAUUAAUAAUAUGUUAUUGGUAGUGAAAUGUUAAUCGUCUUUAGUGGUUUCUGGUUUUUCAAGAAAUGGAUUUAAUUCAUGCUCCUUAUUUAANNNNNNNNNNNNNNNNNNNNNNNNNNNNGCAUGUUAGAUUCUUUUGAGGAAUUCGGCAAAUUUUAUGUCCGCCUGUUUAACAAAAACAUCUUUUCUCGUUAGUUUUUGAAGUAUGACCUGCCCACUGACUUUUAAUUGUUGAAGGGCCGCGGUAUUUUGACCGUGCAAAGGUAGCAUAAUCAUUAGUUCUUUAAUUGUGAUCUGGUAUGAAUGGUUUGACGAGACAUUAACUGUCUUAAAUUAGUUGAAUAAUUUGUUGAAUUUAGUCUUUGAGUUAAAAUUCUUAAAUGUUUUUAUGGGACGAGAAGACCCUAUAGAGUUUGACAUUUAUAUUUAUUUACUGUUAUUGUUUGUUUAUUUGAUAUAGUAGGUUGAAUGUUUUGUUGGGGUGAUGGGAGGAAUUUAUAUAACUCCUCUUUGUUUAUAUAUACUUAUUUGUAUUUGAUUUGAUCCAUUUAUGUUGAUUAUAAGAUUAAAUUACCUUAGGGAUAACAGCGUAAUCUUCCCUGAGAGUUCUUAUUGGCGGGAAGGGUUGCGACCUCGAUGUUGGAUUAAGGUUAAUUUUCGGUGCAGGAGCUGAAAAUAAUUAGGUCUGUUCGACCUUUAAAAUCUUACAUGAUCUGAGUUCAGACCGGCGUGAGCCAGGUUGGUUUCUAUCUAUAGUAGUGUUGUUAUAUCUUAGUACGAGAGGACCGGAUAUUUGGAAUAAUUUUAUUUAUUAUGAUUAUUAAUAAUUUACUAUUUUGGCAGAUAAGUGCAU
rnacentral:rRNA from 1 species